GGGCAGCGGGGGAGUAGCAAUACUCCCGCCGGCGACCGGCGCACGGGUGAGUAACACGUAUGAAACCUGCCCGUAGCAGGGGGAUAAGCGGAAGAAAUUCCGUCUAAUACCGCGUUACAACCCAUGGAGGCAUCUCUGUGGGUUUAAAGGAAGCGAUUCCGGCUACGGAUGGUCAUGCGUCGCAUUAGCUUGUUGGCGGGGUAACGGCCCACCAAGGCGACGAUGCGUAGGGGUUCUGAGAGGAAGGUCCCCCACACUGGUACUGAAACACGGACCAGACUCCUACGGGAGGCAGCAGUGAGGAAUAUUGGUCAAUGGCCGCAGGGCUGAACCAGCCAAGUCGCGUGAGGGAUGACGGUCCUAUGGAUUGUAAACCUCUUUUGUCAGGGAGCAAAGGGCGCCACGUGUGGCGCUUUGCGAGUACCUGAAGAAAAAGCAUCGGCUAACUCCGUGCCAGCAGCCGCGGUAAUACGGAGGAUGCGAGCGUUAUCCGGAUUUAUUGGGUUUAAAGGGUGCGCAGGCGGAAUGUCAAGUCAGCGGUAAAAUUUCGGGGCUCAACCCCGUCGUGCCGUUGAAACUGGCGUUCUUGAGUGAGCGAGAAGUAUGCGGAAUGCGUGGUGUAGCGGUGAAAUGCAUAGAUAUCACGCAGAACUCCGAUUGCGAAGGCAGCAUACCGGCGCUCAACUGACGCUCAUGCACGAAAGCGUGGGUAUCGAACAGGAUUAGAUACCCUGGUAGUCCACGCAGUAAACGAUGAAUACUAACUGUCCGGGCAGAAUGAUGCCUGGGUGGUACAGCGAAAGCGUUAAGUAUUCCACCUGGGGAGUACGCCGGCAACGGUGAAACUCAAAGGAAUUGACGGGGGCCCGCACAAGCGGAGGAACAUGUGGUUUAAUUCG
rnacentral:rRNA from 1 species